GGAAAUCUAUUAGUUAUUACCCAGAAAUUUAAAAAAUAAAUACUAAUAAAAAAAUAAAAACAGUGUCGGCAAAGGAAGCUUCUUUACUGGUUUCCAUGGAAGGCUAGUUUACAUGGUGCAUUUAAUGUUGGCAUAGCAGUACCCAAGAAUUUAUGCAUAUUUAUGAUACCCUUUUAUGUAAGAAUCCAUUUUUACAAGUAAGAUUGACCAUCCAAG
rnacentral:misc_RNA from 1 species